GUGCUCGCUUCGGCAGCACAUAUACUAAAAUUGGAGCGAUACAGAGAAGAUUAGCAUGACCCCUGCACAAGGAUGACACGCAAAUAAGAUGCAAAAUAUGACAGAACU